rnacentral:rRNA from 1 species
UACGUAGGGGGCAAGCGUUGUCCGGAUUCAUUGGGCGCAAAGAGCGUGUAGGCGGCCAGGUAGGUCGGUUGUGAAAACUGGAGGCUCAACCUUCAGAGGUCGACCGAAACCAUCUGGCUAGAGUCCGGGAGAGGAGAGUGGAAUUCCUGGUGUAGCGGUGGAAUGCGCAGAUAUCAGGAGGAACACCCAUAGCGAAGGCAGCUUGCUGGGACGUUACUGACGCUAAGGCGCGAAAGCGUGGGGAGCGAACAGG